rnacentral:rRNA from 1 species
UACGAAGGGGGCUAGCGUUGUUCGGAAUCACAGGGCGUAAAGCGCACGCCGGCGGAUCGAUAAGUCGGGGGUGAAAGCCCGGGGCUCAACCUCGGAAUUGCCUUCGAUACUGUCGGUCUCGAGUCCGGGAGAGGUGAGUGGAAUUCCUAGUGUAGAGGUGAAAUUCGUAGAUAUUAGGAAGAACACCAGUGGCGAAGGCGGCUCACUGGCCCGGUACUGACGCUCAGGUGCGAAAGCGUGGGGAGCAAAUAGG